UACAGAGGUCCCAAGCGUUGUUCGGAUUCACUGGGCGUAAAGGGUGCGUAGGUGGUGAGGUAAGUCGGAUGUGAAAGCUCGGAGCUCAACUCCGAAAUGGCAUUGGAAACUACCUUGCUCGAGGGUUGGAGGGGGGACUGGAAUACUUGGUGUAGCAGUGAAAUGCGUAGAUAUCAAGUGGAACACCAGUGGCGAAGGCGAGUCCCUGGACAACCCCUGACACUGAGGCACGAAAGCUAGGGGAGCAAACAGG
rnacentral:rRNA from 1 species